AUGAACGAAAAUGAAGAAAAAAAUAAAAAUGAGGCACUGAAAAAUAUAAGCGGUACUAUAGAACAAAGUGAAAAGGGGGAAGUAAAACAAAAUAAUAACACCCCCAAUAAUAAUAAUAACGAUACUGGUAGUGAAAAACAGGUAAACCAAUUAAAUCAAACAGGUGGAACUGAACAAGGAAGAUCAAGCGUUAUAACAAAUGUAAGCACAAACACAAGUAUUACAAACAUUAAUACAAACACAACCAACAUGAACAAUAAUGUAACAAUUACAGAAGUAACAUACCCACCAAGCCAUAUAAUGAUAAAUUCAAAAAAAUACCAACAUAUUAAACACAAUGAUAACUUAUCCAUAAGUUUGACUGCACCAAGUCAAACAAACGAAAACAAACAAAAUAAAGAAAAGGAAAAGGAAAAAGAUAAAGAUAAAGAAUACAAUAUAUAUAAUAAUCCUAUAAAUAAUACCCCUAUAAAAAAAAACCCUAUAAAUAAAACCCAUAUAAAUAAUACCCCUAUAAAUAUUAAAAAAACAAAUAAUGUUGAUGCGAAGAUAAACACAAAUAAUCCCAAUACAUUGGAUGUAAACAUAAAUAAUAAUAUAAAUAAUAUGUAUCAUAAUAUGAGUAAAGAAAAAUUAAUACAUAUUUUAUUAAGCAUGAAUAAGAAGCGUAGAAAAUAUGUUAGGAGAACAGACAAUAAUAAUAAAGAAAACAUUUCUAAUGAUGCUAAAAGAGCAAAAACAAAUGAUAAGGAUAGUAUAUUAAAAAUCACAAAAUUAAAUGAUAAUGGUGAAGGAAUGAGUUGUUUAAUAAAAGAAACAACUAAUGUAAUAAAUGUACCUUGUGCAGACAUAAGUGUAAAUAAUUCAUGUAAAAAUUUAUCUAAUGUAGUAAACAUAACCGAUAACAGUACAAUAGAAAAAAUCAAUUCAAUAACAGGAACUACUAUGACAGAGCAAGUGGUAAUUGACCAAGGUAUUAAAAAUGUAAAAACAAUAACAAACGAAAUAAAAUUAAUUAAAAAUAAUUUAAACAAAGAAAAUAAUAAUAUAAUUUUAAAUAAAAAUGUUCAAGAAUGUAAUAAUAAGAAUUGUAACAUAGAAAGCUGUGCUAUUAACAUGAACACUCAUUUGAAAAAAAGUUCAUAUAAGUAA
ensembl:lncRNA